rnacentral:rRNA from 1 species
UGAGGAAUAUUGGUCAAUGGGCGAAAGCCUGAACCAGCCAUGCCGCGUGAAGGAAUAAGGCCCUAUGGGUCGUAAACUUCUUUUGUAUCGGAGCAAUAAGGGUCACGAGUGAUCCGAUGAGAUUACGAUACGAAUAAGGACCGGCUAAUUCCGUGCCAGCAGCCGCGGUAAUACGGAAGGUCCGGGCGUUAUCCGGAUUUAUUGGGUUUAAAGGGAGCGUAGGCCGGAGAUUAAGCGUGUUGUGAAAUGUAGAUGCUCAACGUCUGCACUGCAGCGCGAACUGGUUUCCUUGAGUACGCA